ACAAAAAUUAACCAUGCUACAGUCAAAAUCCAUCCAGCAGUUCAGCCUUACUCUUCACUGUUACAUUUCUUUUAUUUUGCUUUUGAGUAUUUGCUUUAUCUCAGAGCAGGUAUCAAAGCUGCUCCUCAAUAACUUAAAGGAAAAACAAUGAGGAACUCCACUGUGUCGCUGUGCCUGACAGGCAUUGCGUGGUGCUGCCAGGGCUGUGACACUCACAAGGAUACCAGUGCUCCAAUGCUGCAGAGAUAAGGCAUGUGUUGCUACAGAAUGAGUUAUUUGGGAAGCACGGGUGCAUGAAUCUAUUUGAGAGGAGAUAAGGAGCAGGAGAUGAUGAACUCUUAUGAAGCACAACUACAGAGAAAUUCAGAACCCAGCACCCCACAGGCUGAGACCACCUUGAAGGUUGUGAAAUUCUGAUGAGGUCACUGAAACACAGGUUGCCCCAAAGAAGAAAAUCUAAAGGUCCCAGCUCUGCUCCACAUUCUAAUAAAUGUGCAGUUCUCUCCUUGGAGAAGACCUUGUCUGAUAUCAGCACACAGACCCAUUAAGGUAACAGCCUGGGAGGUGGAGUAUAAACUGUUCCUGAGGUCAGUGGGUAGCCGGGGGAAGAGCUACUGAACAGCGGAGUCGUUCCAG